UAUGAAGGUCAGGCUGAAGACUUACCCGAUUAGCUGAGAGGUGGUGCAUGGCCGUCGUCAGUCCGUACUGUGAAGCAUCCUGUUAAGUCAGGCAACGAGCGAGACCCACGUCCACAGUUGCCAGCAUACCCUCCGGGGUGAUGGGUACACUGUGGAGACCGCCGCUGCUAAAGCGGAGGAAGGAGUGGGCAACGGUAGGUCAGUAUGCCCCGAAUCUCCCGGGCUACACGCGGGCUACAAUGGUUGGUACAAUGGGCAUCUACCCCGAAAGGGGAAGGAAAUCUCUUAAAGCCAAUCGUAGUUCGGAUUGAGGGCUGCAACUCGCCCUCAUGAAGCUGGAAUCCGUAGUAAUCGCGUUUCAACAGAACGCGGUGAAUACGUCCCUGCUCCUU
rnacentral:rRNA from 1 species